ensembl:snRNA U6 U6 spliceosomal RNA
AGCAGCAUCUAUCCUAAAAAAAAAAAUUGGAAUGAUACAAAGAAGAUUAGCAUGGCCCCUGAACAAGGAUGACACACAAAUUCGUGAACCAUUCCAUAUUUAA